UUCACCCUGGCCCCGCUGCCCUGCGCCGCCAUACCCUCGCCCCAUCCUUCCCUGCCCCCGCACCGCAUCCAACACGCAGAUCCAGCGCCGUCGCCGCGAGCAUACAGAGGCACCGCGCGGACACGACGACGUCGCGUGCUGUGGUGAAGGAGGUCGCCCUGAACUGGUUGGCUACAAAGGCGACAAGGUGGGUGGUGUCGCGGAACUCCACGAGCAGGCCCACGAGCGCCGGGAGCGAGCGCGCGCACUCCUCAGUCAUGAGGCCCACGACGCCUCACCUUCCUCAAGCUCCACGGCGUCCUCACCCUCGCGAGCUAGCAACGCCUUCCUCUCCGUCGUCCGUGUGCAUCUCCAUGACGCUUAUGGAUGUGUACGCCAAGACCAGCCGGCUCGAGCUGGUCCUGCAGGUGC
rnacentral:misc_RNA from 1 species